rnacentral:lncRNA from 1 species
UAGGCUCAGAGACUCCAGUGCAGCCACAUGGUGGAAGAAGAUUUAUGCAUAGAAAAAUCAAAGUGACAUUAAAAAAACAGAAAUGAGAGUCUCUGGAUUCACGGGUCUGGAUAGGUGGCCAUGAUGACGUCUGGAGAUUUGUUCUAAGUGCCGAGACCAGAAGCUACAAGCCAAAAUUAAGCCCAACAUGGUCCCUUCUACCUCUGCUUUUCCUGUUUUGCCUCCUGGCUAUUUUCGGAGGAGUUGGAUCUUUCAGUUACUUGUUUCAAUCAAGAAAAAUGACAGAGAUGCUACUUACCCAUAAAAAGGACCGAAGUAAUGGCAUUUGCAGUAACCUGGAUAGAAUUGGAGACUGUUAAUCUAAGUGAAGUAACUCAGGAAUGGAAAGCCAAACAUUGUACGUUCUCAGUCAGAAGUGGGAUCUAAGCUAUGAGGACAUAAAGGCAUAAGACUAAUACAACGGUGUUUGGAGACUCAGGUGAAGGGGUGUAAGGGGGUGAGGGAUAAGAGUACACAUUGGGUACAGUGUACACUGCUCAGGUGAUGGGUGCAUCAAAAUCUCAGAAAUCACCACUAAAGAAUCUAUUCAUAUACAAAAAUUAAUUAAUUAAUUAGUUAAAAAAUAACUGAUCUGCUGUCACUCUAGAUUAUAUUUGUCUUUUUUGGAGUUCCACAUAAAUGGAAUCAUACAAUGUACUAUUUUGUGUCUGAUUUCUUUCACUCAGCAUAGUUUUACGAUUUAACCAUGUAGUUACAGAUAUCAUUCCUUGUUAUUGUUGAGUAUUCCAUUGUAGAGAUACACUACAAUUUGUUUAUUUGUUUAUCUAUUAAUAGGCAUUUGAGUUGUCUCCAGUUUGGGAUUCCUACAAAUAAAGCUGUUAAGAACAUUAAAAAAAAAUGACCGGGAAAAAUUUCAAUCAUUUUAGGAGGUUUACUUGUCAAAGUUAAGGACGAGCACUGGGGAGACAGGCCUAUGCCUUUCUCUGAAGCUGAUUUUGAGGGCUCCAAAUUUAGAGGGGAAAAUAUUGAGAAAUACACAAUUUUCAUGUAAGAGGAGGGCGGGGGAAAAUAGUCAUUCAUGCCUUUGU